UAUUUGAGUUUCUUACUUUCUUUUGCAAGUUCCAAAAGGUGCUUUUGAGUUUUGAUGAAUAGAUCAACCAUUAGGAACAUAACUCCACAUACAAUACACUCAACAAAAGUAAUCUGAGGUGCAAUUCAGGAUAGAUUAGUGAUAGAAAAAGGUAACUUAUAUGUGGAAAAUCAAACUAAUAACAACAUUAGUAGAAAGAGCAUUAAAUAGAACCAUAAUUGCACCCGUAUCUUCAAGCCUUCAGCCUUUAACUCUUUUUGCAUCUCUCUGUUACUCUUCUUGCUCCUGUACUAGUUCUGGUGGAAACUUUUGAUGAGUUCUUUCUCAUCAUUAAGUUGUAAAGAACUCUUUUAUGUCUAUAAAACUCUUCUAUUGUUAUUUGAAAGAGGUCAGAUAUAUAAAUGGAGGCUAAUGAGGGUUCUUGAGAGAUCAGUUUGUCUAUCUCGAGAAAAUGAUAAAAAAGAAGCACUUCAAUUGUUUGGAAUACUUUUACGAAAUUGCCUCGUACUAGAGAAAGUGAAAGGUUAAAAGAUCAAUGUCAGGUAUGUAAGGAAGUAUUUUUACCCGAUGCUGGUACUUCAAAUAUGAUGCAUCAUAUAGCUAUACACUUGGAUAACAGACAAGAACACAGAUAUGCACCAUUUAUCAAAUAACUUAUCAUGAGAAAGUGUCUGUUGCUAUUGUAAAGCAUAAAAUUAUCCUUUUAGAUUUGUUGAACAUCAAUGAAAUAGGGAUAUCCAUUCGUACUUAAAUGCAAUGGUAAAAAAUAUUUCAACAAAUAAAACUAAGGCUGAUAUAUUAAAAUUAUAUGAAAGGGAUAAAGAAUUUUUAAAGUGUGAGCUUGCAAUGAUUCCUAGUAGAAUUAUCUGACUUCAGACAUGUGGACUUCCGUAGUAUCAAAUGUUUUUAACCUCUUAUUAUGUUGAUUUGAAUUGGAAUCUUCAAAAAAGAGUGUUAAUCUUUCGUCAUGUUCUGUCUCCAGAUUCUGGUUCAGUUUUAGGUCCUUUACUUGUCGAGUUUAUUAAGAAAUGGGGCAUUGAAAAAAAGAUUUUCACUCUUACUUUGGAUAAUGCUAGUUGCAAUAAUGGUGUGGUAGAUUAUUUAAAAGAAUAUUUAUCUCUAAUGCGUUCUUUAGUUUGUGAUGGAAAGUUCUUUCAUGUUGGUUAUGGGAACCAUAUUUUGAAUUUAAUAGUGAAGGCUAGUUUGGAAAAAGAAGAUGAAGCUAUUGAAAAAGUAAGAGAAGGUGUUAAGAACAUUAAACAUUCAGAAGGAAGAAUAUUGAAAUUUAUGGAAUGCAUUGACAAUCAUGGGUUACUGUGUUCAAAGAAGCUUCGCCAAGAUGUAAUUACUCAUUGGAAUUCCACUUACUAGAUGCUUGAUAGUUCUCUACCAACAAGAUUAUAUUCAAUAUAAAAUCCUUGAUAUUAAUUUUAACUAUAGUCUUUCAGAGGAAGAAUCUAAAAGGGUAGAGAGUAUUACUAAAUUUUUGAAGCCAUUUUAUGAGAUCAUUACACUAUUUUGUAGAAGCAAAUAUCCAACUGCAAAUUUGUAUUUACCGAAUAUAUGGAAAAUUCAAAUGUUGCUAAAGGAAGCAGAAAAUAGCAGUGACCGAGUUAUGAAUAAUAUAGCUACAUUGAUUCUAUAGAAGUUUAAAAAAUAUUUGAGGUCGUAUAGUAUGAUUUUAUCAAUUUCCAUUGUCCUUGAUCCCCGAUAUAAAUUGAAUUUUGUGAAAUUUUGCUUUGCUAAGAUAGAUCCUAUGACCGUUGAUGUUAAGGUUGAAAAAGUUGUAGAUCAUUUACAAUUGUUAUUUAGAAAAUACUUGAGACCUCCAACCACAAUUUCUCUCUUAGGGGAGAACGUUUUUGAUACAAGCAACAAUGAAACGAGGGAUGAUCUUGAGGAAUUUGACAUGUUUGAGAAUCAGUUGGAGUCUCGUAAAGAUAAAACACAAUUAGAUUUGUACUUGAAGGAGCCAAAACUUUAUCGUAAAGUGAAUCCAAAUUUGGAUGUACUUGAAUAUUAGAAGGAAAAUAGAGAAAGAUAUCCAGAACUCUCAUUGAUGGCACAAGAUAUCUUGAGCAUACCUAUUACCAUGGUAACUUCAAAAUAUACCUUUAGGAUUGGAGGUUGUAUUAUUGAAAAGUUUCAAAGUUCUAUUUUACCUGCAAACGCUGAAGCAAAGUUGUGUGCUAAAGAUUGGCUAUGCGAAAAAGAAGAUUGUGAUGGAUCAAACACCGAUGAGGAUGAAAUUUCCAUAGAACUUCAGCUGUAUCUUGCUAAACUUGGCUCACAUUGAUAGAGAUGAUUCCUGCCUUUAUAAUUUGGUAUGUCUGGACAUGGAGGAAUGGAAUCAUGGAUGCUUUGAUGGAAUCCUUCAGCCACUGGCAGUGAAGACGAUGUUGAAGGAUGCUGAAGAUUGUGAGUUUAUCUUGAUGGUUGUAGUGGCAGUGAAGAUUGCCCCAUAAAGAAGCCACUUGCUUAACUUCAUCUUAAUGCUGAAGAUUCCUAGCAUCCUGUUGCACUGAUGGUUGCUGCACUGCUGGAGAUUGAUCAAAUAUAUUUUAUUUUUUUGUUUAGUUUCUUGUUUUUGAAAAGAUGACAUUCAUGCAAUUUUGACAUGAUGAUAAUGGUUG